rnacentral:misc_RNA from 1 species
GGGAUUGAUUAUAUCUCUCUUCACCCAUCCAGCUCUCUUCGUUUUCUUGAGGUUGUGACAUAAAGACAGAAAAUCAAUAGCAGAGGCGGGAGAAGGAUAAGGAGAAGGAGAAGGAGAAGGUGAAGGAGAAGGCGACGCAACGCCGUCAUUUGCAGAAGAUGAAGCUUCGGCCGCCAUGCGAUGAUGUUGCUGAGCUCUCGAGCUAUUCGGUGACGGAGUGAAGGAUUUGAAUCUGAGCUGAAAGCAAGAACAAGCAAAAGCAGGUGCGAACCCAGAGAAGACGAGCGAGGAUGUUGAUUUACACAGCAAUACUCGGCUUCCGC